rnacentral:rRNA from 1 species
GAGUAGUAAGUGUUAAGGUCUUUAAACUCAAAAAAUUUGGCGGUAUUUUAUCUUUUUAGWGGWACCUGUUUAUUAAUUGAUAAUCCACAACUUUAAUUUACUUUUUAUUAUUUUUACUUGUAUACCGUUGUUAUGAAUUUACUAAAAAGUGAAUUUCAGGGAGUUUUAUUAUAAUUUAUGUUAGAUCAAGGUGCAGUGUUAAAAAGAAAAAAUGGGUUACACUAUUUAUUAUAAAUGGAAAUUAUCUAUAGUUUGGUUAUUAAAAUAGGAWUUAAAAGUGUAAAAAAAAUUAAAGAUUUUAUAUGAAUAAAGAUWCUAAAAUAUG